CGCCAGUGUAUAUCUAUGCUGCUGCGGUUAAAAAGCUCGUAGUUGGAUCAGCGUGCAUGGUGACGGUCCGCCCUAGUGGUGUGAACUGUCUACCUGCACUUAAUAGCUAGUUCACUCUUGGUGACCUUAACCGGUUGUCUUGAGCGUCUAGCAACUUUACUUUGAAAAAAUUAGAGUGCUUAAAACAAGCGUUUUGCUUGAAUACUGGUGCAUGGAAUAAUAGAAUAGGACCUUGGUUCUAUUUUGUUGGUUUUCGGGACACGAGGUAAUGAUUAAGAGGGACAGCCGGGGGCAUUCGUAUUGCGACGCUAGAGGUGAAAUUCUUGGAUCGUCGCAAGACGAACUACUGCGAAAGCAUUUGUCAAGAGUGUUUUCAUUAAUCAAGAACGAAAGUUAGAGGUU
rnacentral:rRNA from 1 species